AUUUUACUAUUACAUUCAAAUGAAUUGUGCUUUCAUUUCAGCAUGCAUUUUCAGUACCUGAUUCCAAACUAUGGACUUUCAAAUUUUAUACAUUAAAAUGGAAUUACUUUUAGGUUCAUUGGAUUGUUGUGAUGGUUGUACCUGCAAUUUUUGAAGUGUGGAAGAAACACUUCCUAAUAUGUUUGCAAAGAGAUGCAUGGAUGGUUGAUUAGCCAUUACAGUCUCUUAGCUGCACUAGUAUACACCUGUGUGCGUAGAACUGUGGGUCACAAUAUGAUGAGUAUUUACGGCUGUAUGCUAAAUUUUAAUGACACGAAACUUUGUGGCUCUACAUCCUAGAGACUAAUUGCUUUCCUUUUUCUGUGGUGACAUUUUAUUUCCCCCUUGAAAAGUGACUUUGCUGUUUGUCUUGCUUUCUUGCUCGAAGUUUUGAGUUCUCUACUCUUCUGGUCUGUGUCUGGGGAAUGAAGACCAUGUAUCUUUUUAUGUUUUAUUUGCACUUUCUUUUGGAUUUAUUUAGUGGGAUUUCAUAUUGCUUUACAGUUGAAAACAAUAAAAAGGUAAAACUUUUGCUUAAAAUUAUGUUGGUGUUGAUGCUCUAUUCCUUGAAGCAUCUUAUUCAUCAUUUUGGUUGGUCGAUCUGUUGCACUGAAUUUUGAUGUUGUUUUUUAAUUGCAUUCAGGAUGUUCAUUGGCUCUGUGAAGAGGCUUAGAAUCAUGAGGACAUCUGAGGCCACUGGACUUGAUCCAAGCUUACAAGAAAGGAAUGGUAGACAGAGAAGGAGCUAAGGAGCCUUACUAGACUGUUUUCCUUUCACUAGCAAGAUGAAUGCCUGCAGCAAGCUAAAGAAUAUACAAAGUGGAAAAAGAGAUCAGUAUUUAAUAACCAAAGCAUUUUGAUACGUGAAGUUUUGGUCCUAUAUGUCUUCUCCUUUUGUUAUUGGUUUGUGUACUAUUUGGUUAUAGUUUUGGUGCAUUCUUAUUUCCACUCUCUGGAAUAUUUUGUACACUUUUCUUUUGGGAGGCCCAAGAUCCCUAGUUUCCGAUGUAAUAUACAAAGCAUACAUGAAGUGACUCUGUUUUAACUGUUGUGUAUAUAUCAUACACAGUUUUUCUGGUGA